GACGGGUGAGUAACACGUGGGUAACCUGCCCUAAAGUGGGGGAUAACAUUUGGAAACAGAUGCUAAUACCGCAUAAAACCUAACACCGCAUGGUGUAGGGUUGAAAGAUGGUUUCGGCUAUCACUUUAGGAUGGACCCGCGGUGCAUUAGUUAGUUGGUGAGGUAAAGGCUCACCAAGACCGUGAUGCAUAGCCGACCUGAGAGGGUAAUCGGCCACACUGGGACUGAGACACGGCCCAGACUCCUACGGGAGGCAGCAGUAGGGAAUCUUCCACAAUGGACGAAAGUCUGAUGGAGCAACGCCGCGUGAGUGAAGAAGGUUUUCGGAUCGUAAAACUCUGUUGUUGGAGAAGAAUGUAUCUGAUAGUAACUGAUCAGGUAGUGACGGUAUCCAACCAGAAAGCCACGGCUAACUACGUGCCAGCAGCCGCGGUAAUACGUAGGUGGCAAGCGUUGUCCGGAUUUAUUGGGCGUAAAGCGAGCGCAGGCGGUUUCUUAAGUCUGAUGUGAAAGCCUUCGGCUCAACCGAAGAAGUGCAUCGGAAACUGGGAAACUUGAGUGCAGAAGAGGACAGUGGAACUCCAUGUGUAGCGGUGAAAUGCGUAGAUAUAUGGAAGAACACCAGUGGCGAAGGCGGCUGUCUGGUCUGUAACUGACGCUGAGGCUCGAAAGCAUGGGUAGCAAACAGGAUUAGAUACCCUGGUAGUCCAUGCCGUAAACGAUGAGUGCUAGGUGUUGGAGGGUUUCCGCCCUUCAGUGCCGCAGCUAACGCAUUAAGCACUCCGCCUGGAGAGUACGACCGCAAGGUUGAAACUCAGAGGAAUUGACGGGCGCCCGCACAAGCGGUGGAGCAUGUGGUUUAAUUCGAAGCAACGCGAAGAACCUUACCAGGUCUUGACAUCCUUUGACCACUCUAGAGAUAGAGCUCUCCCUUCGGGGACAAAGUGACAGGUGGUGCAUGGUUGUCGUCAGCUCGUGUCGUGAGAUG
rnacentral:rRNA from 1 species